UGGAGGCCGAGCAGCACGCUGG
rnacentral:misc_RNA from 1 species